UACGGAGGGGGCUAGCGUUGUUCGGAAUUACUGGGCGUAAAGCGCGCGUAGGCGGACCUGCAAGUCGGGGGUGAAAGCCCGAGGCUCAACCUCGGAACUGCCUUCGAUACUGCGGGUCUCGAGUCCGGGAGAGGUGAGUGGAAUUCCUAGUGUAGAGGUGAAAUUCGUAGAUAUUAGGAAGAACACCAGUGGCGGAAGGCGGCUCACUGGCCCGUUACUGACGCUGAGGCACGGAAAGCGUGGGGAGCAAAC
rnacentral:rRNA from 1 species